CAGCAGCCACGGGAACACGGAGGGGGCUAGCGUUGUUCGGAAUUACUGGGCGUAAAGCGCACGUAGGCGGCUUGGUAAGUUAGAGGUGAAAGCCUGGAGCUCAACUCCAGAAUUGCCCUUAAGACUGCCGAGCUAGCAGGUGAGAGAGGUAAGUGGAAUUCCGAGUGUAGAGGUGAAAUUCGUAGAUAUUCGGAAGAACACCAGUGGCGAAGGCGGCUUACUGGCUCAUACUGGACGCUGAGGUGCGAAAGCGUGGGGAGCAAACAGGAUUAGAUACCCCGGUAGUCCCUGUCUCUUAUAC
rnacentral:rRNA from 1 species